GUAAACCCAAGGUUUCCAGGGGAAGGUUCGUCCGCCCUGGGUUAGUCGGGACCUAAGCUGAGGCCGAAAGGCGUAGGUGAUGGACAACAGGUUGAUAUUCCUGUACUACCGAUAACCGGUUGAGAGAUGGGAUGACACAGUAGGAUAAGCUAAGCACACUGUUGGUUAUGUGUGCCCCAGCACUGAUGCAGACAAAGUACGCAAAUCCCCUUUGAUAAUGCUGGGAUGUGAUGGGGAGCGAAAUUU
rnacentral:rRNA from 1 species